rnacentral:piRNA from 1 species
CCACAAUGGUGACACCUCGUCGUCGGCUC